AGUCGAACGCUAUAUUUAUAUAGAGUGGCGCACGGGUGAGUAACACGUGGGAAUCUGCCCUUCUGCCUGGGAUAACAGUUGGAAACGACUGCUAAAACCGGAUACGCCCUUCGGGGGAAAGGUCCGCCGCAGAAGGAGGAGCCCGCGCUCGAUUAGCUAGUUGGUGAGGUAAUGGCUCACCAAGGCGACGAUCGAUAGCUGGUCUGAGAGGAUGAUCAGCCACACUGGGACUGAGACACGGCCCAGACUCCUACGGGAGGCAGCAGUGGGGAAUAUUGGACAAUGGGGGCAACCCUGAUCCAGCAAUGCCGCGUGUGUGAUGAAGGCCUUAGGGUUGUAAAGCACUUUCACUGGUGAAGAUGAUGACGGUAACCAGAGAAGAAGCCCCGGCUAACUUCGUGCCAGCAGCCGCGGUAAUACGAAGGGGGCGAGCGUUGUUCGGAAUUACUGGGCGUAAAGGGAGCGCAGGCGGUUCAUUAAGUUAGGCGUGAAAGCCUCGGGCUCAACCUGGGAACUGCGCUUAAUACUGGUGAGCUAGAAAACAGGAGAGGGUAGUGGAAUUUCCAGUGUAGAGGUGAAAUUCGUAGAUAUUGGAAAGAACACCGGUGGCGAAAGCGGCUACCUGGCCUGAUUUUGACGCUGAGGCUCGAAAGUGUGGGGAGCAAACAGGAUUAGAUACCCUGGUAGUCCACACCGUAAACGAUGAAUGCCAGACGUCGGGCAGUAUACUGUUCGGUGUCACACCUAACGGAUUAAGCAUUCCGCCUGGGGAGUACGGUCGCAAGAUUAAAACUCAAAGGA
rnacentral:rRNA from 1 species